rnacentral:rRNA from 1 species
UACGAAGGGGGCUAGCGUUGUUCGGAAUUACUGGGCGUAAAGGGCGCGUAGGCGGCUUGUCAAGUCAGGCGUGAAAGCCCCGGGCUUAACCUGGGAACUGCGCUUGAGACUGGCAGGCUAGAGUUCGGGAGAGGCGGGUGGAAUUCCCAGUGUAGAGGUGAAAUUCGUAGAUAUUGGGAAGAACACCGGUGGCGAAGGCGGCCCGCUGGACCGACACUGACGCUGAGGCGCGAAAGCGUGGGGAGCAAACAGG